rnacentral:rRNA from 1 species
CCUACGGGAGGCAGCAGUGGGGGAUAUUGCACAAUGGGGGGAACCCUGAUGCAGCGACGCCGCGUGGGCGAAGAAGUAUUUCGGUAUGUAAAGCCCUAUCAGCAGGGAAGAAGAAAUGACGGUACCUGAGUACGAAGCACCGGCUAAAACAGUGCCAGCAGCCGCGGUAAUUCGUGUGGGGCAAGCGUUAUCCGGAUUUAUUGGGUUUAAAGGGUGCGUAGGCGGAAUGCCAAGUCAGCGGUAAAAUCGCGGGGCUCAACCUCGCUGAGCCGUUGAAACUGGCGUUCUUGAGUGGACGAGAGGUAAGCGGAAUGCGAGGUGUAGCGGUGAAAUGCAUAGAUAUCACGCAGAACACCAGUGGCGAAGGCGGCAUACCGGCGCCCAACUGACGCUGAAGCGCGAAAGCGUGGGUAUCGAACAGGAUUAGAUACCCUAGUAGUC